CCAAAGGCUCUUUUCAGAGCCACUUCUGUUUUCACGGAGAGAAGCU
rfam:Felis catus isolate Cinnamon breed Abyssinian chromosome B2, whole genome shotgun sequence.